rnacentral:rRNA from 1 species
GGGCGUAAAGAGCUCGUAGGUGGUUUGUCGCGUUGUUCGUGAAAUCUCACGGCUUAACUGUGAGCGUGCGGGCGAUACGGGCAGACUAGAGUACUGCAGGGGAGACUGGAGUUCCUGGUGUAGCGGUGGAAUGCGCAGAUAUCAGGAGGAACACCGGUGGCGAAGGCGGGUCUCUGGGCAGUAACUGACGCUGAGGAGCGAAAGCGUGGGGAGCGAACAGGAUUAGAUACCCUGGUAGUCCACGCCGUAAACGGUGGGUACUAGGUGUGGGUUUCCUUCCUUGGGAUCCGUGCCGUAGCUAACGCAUUAAGUACCCCGCCUGGGGAGUACGGCCGCAAGGCUAAAACUCAAAGGAAUUGACGGGGGCCCGCACAAGCGGCGGAGCAUGUGGAUUAAUUCGAUGCAACGCGAAGAACCUUACCUGGGUUUGACAUGCACAGGACGCGUCUAGAGAUAGGCGUUCCCUUGUGGCCUGUGUGCAGGUGGUGCAUGGCUGUCGUCAGCUCGUGUCGUGAGAUGUUGGGUUAAGUCCCGCAACGAGCGCAACCCUUGUCUCAUGUUGCCAGCGGGUAAUGCCGGGGACUCGUGAGAGACUGCCGGGGUCAACUCGGAGGAAGGUGGGGAUGACGUCAAGUCAUCAUGCCCCUUAUGUCCAGGGCUUCACACAUGCUACAAUGGCCGGUACAAAGGGCUGCGAUGCCGUAAGGUUAAGCGAAUCCUUUUAAAGCCGGUCUCAGUUCGGAUUGGGGUCUGCAACUCGACCCCAUGAAGUCGGAGUCGCUAGUAAUCGCAGA